UCAGUUUGACGACUAUUGGUAUCAAAGUUGUUUGGUUGAUUUGAAAACUGCCCAGAAAUUCCCUUUAUCUGAUUAUUUGCUAGUUUUUUAGAAUUCUUUGUGAUAAGCCUGUCCUCUCUGUAUUGGAUGUAUGUAUAGAAUUGGAUAUAGGUCUUGCCAAAAAGGAUCUCUCAAAAACUAAUAAAAUGUUACUAUUGCUAUCUCGACCUGACUGCUUUAGCUUUGAUUGCUAGCAUUGAUACUGCUCAACUUAUCAACUUGUAAUCCACAACACAACUAUGCUUGUUAUGUGGGGUGAUAUUGCUCAGUUUAAUCCAAUAGCAUAAUUAUUUUUCCUUAGCUCAAUUGCUUUAUUUCCUAAUAUCUAUUGUUAAUGGCAUUGUUAAUGGCCAAGAGAAACUGCCAUUAAUAUGAACUACAUACUUUGUGAUUGGCAGACACGAUCGGCGGCUAACAAGACCAACCGUGGUAAGAAGGAGUCGGAGCACCACACGGGGCGGCUACCUAUCAUCUACAGGGUGGUCCACCACAAAGAGAAGGGUAAGGAAUUUCCUGUUAUCCCAACUUACACAGAGACGUAUGACACAGUCAACGACCCUAAAGCUGCCAAGAAUCUUGUAAGUUAAUUAAAUCUGGUGCAAAUAGCUUACAUAUAUUGUGCAAAUAAUUUUCAGUUGGUGCAAUUAAAUAAUUUUUAGUUGGUGCAGAGGCAUUUGUGUUUCGUAUUGUGAAUAUUACUUUGUUAUGCUAAGUUUCAUAUCACUGGUAAAGUAAACUAGUAAAGAGAGGAAUAUAUGCUCACCUCAACCAAUAUCUUAAGCCAUAUUCUUAUUAACAGUCCUGUCUAGUAGUCCUGUCAUGAAAUAUGAUGCAUAUAUAUGUGAAUAAUAUAAUUGAUCAUCUUCUAACUAGAAAGAUUCUUCUCUGCAUUGAUCAGGAAAAUGGUUUCUAAACUUUAUGAGGGCUUAAGUUUCCAUUUCUCUCUCAAGGGGAGGCAACUAGCUUCAACUCCAGCUCCCCAAAUUCCCAAGUUAACAAACACUCAUUCAGUUACUCCCACGCAUUUGGAUCACUCUAACAAAUCAUGCAUGCAUGUGAUUAAGUAAAUCAGCUAGUUGCUUCCCUUUUAGAUGAAGCUGUAUAUCCUGCUAAGUUUCAUGACACAAGCACUAUUGUUAUGUUCUGCAAAACAUUGCUUGUCUCUAAGUUCAAUUCUUCAUUUAGUAAAUUUACAUGCCUGCAAUAUGUAGCAGAUUCAUAACAGUUCCAUCAUUCUCCAACUUAUUUUUCUUCAUUGCUUACCCUUAAUUGUUUUUCAACUGCAAUAUGAAUUUAAAUUCCAAAUCUAAUUACAAGCUUAUCUCUUAUCUCUUAUCUGCAGGAGGAAAUGCAGAAAGAGGCAACUGAAUUGAAAAAAUGCACAGAAGAAUGCAAACCCUGACAUCCCGGAGGCUGAGCUCCCACCUUUGGAGUGGUCAAUGAAUCUUAAGGUGCUUGAAGCAAGAGUCGGCAGAAGAGCCGGGAAAGAGAUCCGUGGUCUUGGAAGAGCAGGUGUCCGACAGUUAUCAUCUUCCACUCCACGUUCUCGAGUUCAUGAGGUGGAGGAGAGAUUACAUAUUGCUGAGGAGAGGGCCGAAAAAGCUGAGGCGGUUGUGCAAAAAGUUAGUGAAGAGAUGACAUUGGUGAAGCAGCAACUAGCAGCAGUGAUGUCUUUUAUGGCGCAGCAGACUGGGCGUCCUCCACCAGUCCCUUCCCAACAACCUCUAGAAGAAAAUGUUGAUGCAGCUAAGAGGAACUAGCUAGGUACAUCACUGCGUUCUUCAUUAUUUUGGUUUUGUUUAGAUGGAGAAGCCUUUGGUUAGGUUGUUGUGCAGUUGGUUUUGUUUAGAUGGAGAAACCUUUGGUUAGGUUGUUGUGCAGUUGGUUUUGUUUAGAUGGAGAAGCCUUUAAGGUUUGUGCAGUUGGUUUUGUUCAGUUGGAGAAUGAUAGGAUAGGCUAGCUAAGCUAGGAUGAAUGAAUGGUUUUGUUUAGUUGCAAUUCAAGGUGUUACUAAAGAGUAAAGACUUUGUAUGAACAAAUUAUGCAUAUAUGAAAAUUUAUUGUUUGCUAAAUUUGCAAUUUUAUAGUUUCUGUAGAUGAUGAUGAUAGUGAAACAGGGAGGAUAAGGAAAAAGCAAAUAAAACUGGCCUCAGUGAACAGACUUAUGCGACGAAAACGUAUGUUUUUGUCGCAUAAGUGAACCAUCCUUUCGUCGGCAAUUGCACCCAUGUUUCGUCGGGAUAGAAUUACUAACGACGAAAAUCAUUUCGUUGGAACACUUAUGCGACGAGAUUCGUCGUACAAGUGGACACCAGUGUCAUCGCUUCUAGUCUGUGCGACAAUGAUUUCUUCGUCGCAUUAUAUAGAGUGUAGCGACGAAUAUAUUUUUUUCGUCGCAUAGAUUCUUAUGCGACACCACUUAUGCGACGACUCUUAUGCGACCGACUUGUCGUGUCAUAGGUAUAUAUGCGACGAAAAUUGACUCUUAUGCUUCGAAAUUGUUUCGUCUCUUAAGUCGGCCAUCCUACUAGUGCUAGUGCAACGGCAUCUAUGAUAUAUGCUUCAUCUGGAGUUAUCCAUUCGCUUCUUCUUUUUCCUACAAUUAUGCUAGUAAUUAAGGACCAUUCGUAUACUAGAUUUCUAGAAAGGAUGGUACCUGUCUGCGGAUCCGGCUCCUCUAAAGUGAGGAGUCCGUGAAGUUAGUCUAAGUUCAUAAAAUCUAGGCUUUCUAUCUAAUCCAAGGGUCGUAAGAAUUGACACAUCACUAUUACUUAAAUUUUUGAUUUUUAGUCUAACCCCAGUUAACUUCUUGUUAACUAUAUCGUUAACUCCAUGUAAAUGCAGUCAACGAUAGAGUUCAUUCUUAGCCCCAUUAACGAGUUCUGCAUCAAUAUUAACGAGUUCUGCAUCAAUAUUACAUAUUCAUCUAAUUCAAACUUCCUUUCUAUCCCUUAAUCCCUUUCACCAUUAUUUUCAUUUCUUUAACCUCAUAUUUGUUUAAACAUGGCUCCCGUGCUGGGUUCAUCCCUCCUUUAAAUGGACUCUUCGUUCAUCCAAAACCCUUAUUCGGAAUUCUCCUUUGAGUUAUGUUCUUUGAUCAACUCACUGGAUUAUGAUCUCUCCUACCUGGGAUAUGUUCAACUUUGAUCAGAUCUAUAGUCAAGUACAACAGCCAGCUCAGCUACCGUUCAACCAAAACGACUCUGAAGAAAUUGUUAUUUAUGGAGUUCUUGCUCAGGCCGGCGCCGAGGACUCCUCUGACGCCACCAGUACCCCUCGUCAUAUGAAAGAUGAUGAGAGGUGAACUCCAACGCGGCCAUGGAAGAGGGAAAGAGAUGAAGGACGAGAUAGCAUAUAGAGGAGCCAGCUCAGCUACAGUUCAACCAAAACGACUCUAAAGAAAUGGUUAUUUAUGGAGUUUUUGCUCAGGCCAACGCCGGGGAUUCCUCCGACGCCACCAGUACCCCUCGUCAUAUGAAAUAUGAUGAGAGGUGAACUCCAACGUGACCAUGGAAGAGGGAGAUAGCAUGAAGGACGAGAUAACAUAUAGAGGACUCCGGCGGCAGCCAUGGGGGAAGUACGCGGCAGAGAUAAGGGAUUCAACACGAAGGGGGUGCGAGUUUGGUUGGGAACCUUACUGCGGAGGCAGCCCUAGCUUAAGACCAAGCUGCAUUUACAUGGAGUUAACGAUAUAGUUAACAAGAAGUUAACUGGGGUUAGACUAAAAAUCAAAAAUUUAAGUAAUAGUGAUGUGUCAAUUCUUAAGACCCUUAGAUUAGAUAGAAAGUCUAGAUUUUGUGAACUUAGACUAAUUUCACACACUCCUCACUUUAGAGGAGCCGAAUCCCCUGCCUGGCUGCUUGUGCACGUUACUUUUCAUUUGCAUCUUCGGCGUUACAUAUGGAAGCGGAGGCUGCUAGAGCAGGCAUCCUUCUUGUCAUUCACCAAAAUUUCAAUGACUUUCAUCUUGAGUGUGAUUGCUCUAUGGUGGUGAAUGGGUUACUCUAUUAAGUUGAAGAAAGAUCUGAAGUGGGGUGCAUCAUAUUUGACAUCUUUACGCUCUAAUGCACGAGAUCUAGGCUUUAUGUCCCUCUCAGUACAUAAUUAUAAUAUUAAUAUAAUAAGUCAGGCGUGAGGAUGAGUCUCUUAAGUGGAACUUUUGAAUUGACCAUUUUUUAUUUAUUUCAUAAAAUCAAUAUCUAAUCAUGUUCGUUCUCUAAUUUGCAUUCUAAAUAUGGUUAAAUUGACCAUUGUUACCUAAUAAAAAAUGACUGUUGGUUGAAUUUUGCAUCGAUCCAGCACUAGUAAUGAACUUGAAUAAACUUUAUCAAAUUAAGGAUUUUGAUCUUAAGACUGACUGACAAGAAAAAGAAAAAGAAAAAAGCUAAGAGAAAAUAGUAGAAGUUGUGGAAGCUCCACAGAAUCUAAUUUUGGGAGCAAGACGAAUAGUCGAAAUGCAAAGUAAAGAUUUACAGGGAAGGGUUUUUUACUAAAUGUAUAAAGUAAAUCUUGUUUGUCCCCCACGAUCAAGCCAAACAAAGAAUGACCGUUGCCGUCAAAUCACAGUAUUUACUGCGAUCAAUCACAUAUAUAUGACUUCUGACAUUGUCUGUCUAUCGCUCCAGAGCAGAUUUCAGAUCAUGAUGGGGCUAUUAUUGCCCACUGUAAUUAAUCCCAUUCAUAUGUUACAGUUACUGCGAAGUAUACCUGACAGUUUUGACUGUGAGCCUAAU
rnacentral:lncRNA from 1 species